AAUAAAAUGACUGAUAUUAAGUGAUAAAUUGUAAGUUUAUUUAUGAAUUUUUGAAAAAAUUCUUUUAUUA
rnacentral:tRNA from 1 species